GACGAACGCUGGCGGCGUGCUUAACACAUGCAAGUCGAGCGAUGAAGCUCCUCCGGGAGUGGAUUAGCGGCGGACGGGUGAGUAACACGUGGGUAACCUGCCUCAUAGAGGGGAAUAGCCUUCCGAAAGGAAGAUUAAUACCGCAUAAGAUUGUAGUACCGCAUGGUAUAGCAAUUAAAGGAGCAAUCCGUUAUGAGAUGGACCCGCGUCGCAUUAGCUAGUUGGUGAGGUAACGGCUCACCAAGGCGACGAUGCGUAGCCGACCUGAGAGGGUGAUCGGCCACAUUGGGACUGAGACACGGCCCAGACUCCUACGGGAGGCAGCAGUGGGGAAUAUUGCACAAUGGGGGAAACCCUGAUGCAGCAACGCCGCGUGAGUGAUGACGGUCUUCGGAUUGUAAAACUCUGUCUUCAGGGACGAUAAUGACGGUACCUGAGGAGGAAGCCACGGCUAACUACGUGCCAGCCGCCGCAGUAACAC
rnacentral:rRNA from 1 species